UCCCAAUGAGGAAACAAUCCCAUUGAUAAGAAGAGCCGUCUGACACUCCAAAACAGCAGCGGUUUU